rnacentral:lncRNA from 1 species
UCCACUGCUGAGGGUGAAUGUGGCGAAGAUGUUAUAGUUGGGGUCCGGCAAAAGAGGGGUCGGGGAAAGAGUGAGAUUCUUGGCCCUGCGAUGAAGAGGCGAAGGGCAGUGGUGAGGGAAACUCCAUGGACAGGUCGGGAGAUUCCCAAUAUUUCGGAGGACACAAUUGCUGACCCCCUCAGGCCUGUUCCUCGUGAUUCCCUUUUAGAGGUUGCGAAAUUCUGCUGGGAAUAGGGACAAGAAG